AGAGCGGGUAAUCGGAGGGACGAAUAGCUCCGAAAAAGUUUUCCCAAAUUCUUUUUCCCGUCCGUUUUUCUCUGCUCAAGGGACGCAUAGCUCCCGCGAAAUCAAAAGCCCUAAUUGCAACCCUUCAUUGAAAACUUUCGAUCCAAACCCAAAAUCUCUAAAAUUUGCUCCACAUUUUUUCUAUAUUUCAUACAAAAACCUUUCCUCAAUAUAGUUUCUAGUUCUACGUUGCCUUUAGCGUCUGUUUCCACAAUUGAAUUCCUAAAAAAAGCAUGUGGGCUUGCUUCAGAAUCUCCUUCUUCCGCCCAUCGAAAGCUCCAAAUCGAUGAAAAAACAUCCAAUAGUACGAAGCCAUUAUCGGUUUCUUGAAAUCAUAUGGAUUCGACAAUUCACAGAUCGCCAAGUUGGUCUCGAGACAACCUUCGGUUCAAUCCAAAGUAUCCACCAAUCUGAAGCCUAAAUUUGAGUUCCUCCAGUGAAGGAUGUUGCAGAUUUCUGUUUCAGCACUGCAAAGUUGGAUCCAGAAACUGUAAGUUCUUACCCUAACUUAUUCAUGAGUGCAUUGGACAAGCGACUUCGAUAGAGGUACAAAGUUCUUGAGGUGAUUCUGGCAUGCUUGACAGGAUUGAUCUUACGUUCAAAUACGUGGGUUGGUUUAAUAUUAUAAAUUUUGUUGUUUGAAUGGUUUUUGUUAGGAGAUGGGAUUGUAAUUGGUCAAUUUGAAGGAGUCUACAUUGGUUUAGAACUUGGCAGAUUGGUGUUCUAUGGUGGUGAAAAUGUUAUGAGCUACAAUAGCAUAUGGAACAGGAUGUUUGUCCUUUUGCUCUCAAAGUGUGGAUGUAUUCAACUCGUUUCUGACUGUCUUUGAUUAAUGAAAGCGCUUGCAGUGUCUCCCUAUGACUCUAAGCAUGGUGCUUCCCAUUUACAACUUGAACAUGAGAAAGAGCGGAAUUUGAGGAUGGCUAAUCUUAUAGGGUUCGGUUUACAUUCUGAACUUGAAAGUAGAGAUGUGGGCGAAUCUUCUUUCCGAACUGAUUUAUUACAACGACCAUUUCUAGAUUUUCUGGUUGAUUGACGGACAGUGGAAGAUAAAGUGACUGUCCCACCUUGGGGGACUUUUUGAAGACUCGUUUGGGUGAAGUUUGGUCUUCUGGAAGAUUCAAUGUGUCCAUGUGCUUCAGAUUUGUGUAGUAAUGAACACAAAGAUCUACAAAAUUGGAAAGAUGAGGCAGCAAUUGUAUACUGUUGGCAAUGAAUUUGACAGAGAAAAAAUCUACAACGAAAAUUCAGAUGCUCAAAGAGAAAACAAAGAAAGAGUCCGACAAAAAUUAUGGAUUCGACUAAGAGGUACAAUUCUGUGAAGAGAAGAGUCUGGAUCGUAGAAAAAGACGAUGAGAGGCGGAAGAGGAAGACAGUUGCAGAGGAAGACGAUGAGUGAAAGAGGAAGGGGAUGAUUAUUUGGGAAAGACAAAAAAGAUAAGAGGAAAAGGAAACCAACAAAAAUAAUUAAGAAAAGAGGAAAAAAAAAACCAAUAAAAAUAAUUGAAAAAAAAAAGAAGGAACCAAGAAAAAUAAUUGUGAAAAAAGAAAAGAAAAUCAGUAAAAAUAUUUGAAAAAUAGAAGAAUGAAACCAAUAAAAAUAAUUGAGAAAAAGAAAAAGGAAAAAGAUAGAAAUAAAUUAAGAAUAAAAAAACCAAUAGAGAAACGGAAUGGAAGAAAUUAUAUUUCUUUUGUUUUCAAUUAAUUACUUAUAAAAUGAGAAACGUUUCUAUUUCUUUUAGAACAUGAAACAAGGAAUGUUAUCAAACACCUCAAUUUCUUAAAAAAGAAUGAAAGUAGAAAUAGGAAAUGUCCCACUCUAAUAGUAAAACCUUUCUUAUAUUCUUAUCUUGAUGUGAAGGGUCAUACUCUAAAAUUUUAUUUUGUAAGAAUCUAUUGGAAUAGUGAAGUCAUAUUUUGUGCAUUUGGUUGAUUUAUAGGUUUGGUAGCAAAGUUUUGGUUGAAAUGUACUUAUUUAAAUAGCUUGUCGGUAUCAAAACAUGUAUGUUCAUUCUAUCGUUGUACAAAUCCUUUACCAACAAUUGUACGGAUAUAAAGUAUAUGUUAAUGUAUAUAUAUUAAAGCGUUCACGGCUUGUUUCCA